rnacentral:rRNA from 1 species
UACGUAGGGCGCAAGCGUUGUCCGGAAUUACUGGGCGUAAAGAGCUCGUAGGUGGUUUGUCGCGUUGUUCGUGAAAACUCACAGCUCAACUGUGGGCGUGCGGGCGAUACGGGCAGACUGGAGUACUGCAGGGGAGACUGGAAUUCCUGGUGUAGCGGUGGAAUGCGCAGAUAUCAGGAGGAACACCGGUGGCGAAGGCGGGUCUCUGGGCAGUAACUGACGCUGGAGGAGCGAAAGCGUGGGGAGCGAACAGG